rnacentral:tRNA from 1 species
GGGCGGUUAGCUCAGUUGGUUAGAGUACUUGCUCGACACGCAAGGGGUCACUGGUUCGAGUCCAGUACCGCCCACCA